UAGAGAGAGAGAGAGAGAGAGUGAGUAUGUCUCUUAUACUUUCGAAAAUACGGAGGUUUCUGUGCUUAUAAAUUAUUUUCGAUAAUGAAAUAUUCGAUUCGACGAUCAGUUUCAUUAAGUAUGAUCUACGCUAUUAGUACUAAUUAAAAAUAAAUUUUAUAAUGUUUCGACAUUAUCUACCAAGUGAUCAAGAAAUCUUAAAAAUGACUAUUUUAAUGACCAAUAUGACACGUUUGUAAAUUAAAUAGUGUAGAAGAAUCCAAAUUAUAUGAAACUUCAAUAGAAAAUUAUACUUAAGAUCAAGAAUGAAAAUAAUACUUCCGAUUUGAAAUUUAAGUCUUUUAUAAUUAUUUUUUUUAUAAAAUUUUUAUUUUCAACCGUUCAUUUCGAAGCUAUUUAUUCACUAGGCAAACAAAAUAAGAAAAUUAUGAAAUUUGAUUUCUAAAUAGUUCUAAUAAGCGUAGAUCAUAUUUUAUGGAGCCGAUCGUCGAAUCGAAUGUUCCAUCAUCGAAAAUAAUUUAUAAUCAUGAAUUCAAUUAUUUAUUUAUUA
rnacentral:lncRNA from 1 species